GACGAACGCUGGCGGCGUGCCUAAUACAUGCAAGUUGAGCGCUGAAGGUUGGUACUUGUACCAACUGGAUGAGCAGCGAACGGGUGAGUAACGCGUGGGGAAUCUGCCUUUGAGCGGGGGACAACAUUUGGAAACGAAUGCUAAUACCGCAUAAAAACUUUAAACACAAGUUUGAAGUUUGAAAGAUGCAAUUACAUCACUCAAAGAUGAUCCCGCGUUGUAUUAGCUAGUUGGUGAGGUAAAGGCUCACCAAGGCGAUGAUACAUAGCCGACCUGAGAGGGUGAUCGGCCACAUUGGGACUGAGACACGGCCCAAACUCCUACGGGAGGCAGCAGUAGGGAAUCUUCGGCAAUGGACGAAAGUCUGACCGAGCAACGCCGCGUGAGUGAAGAAGGUUUUCGGAUCGUAAAACUCUGUUGGUAGAGAAGAACGUUGGUGAGAGUGGAAAGCUCAUCAAGUGACGGUAACUACCCAGAAAGGGACGGCUAACUACGUG
rnacentral:rRNA from 1 species